GACGAACGCUGGCGGCGUGCUUAACACAUGCAAGUCGAACGGACAGGCCCUGCUUUUGUGGGGUUCUCGAUUGGCGAACGGGUGAGUAACACGUGAGUAUCCUGCCCUUGACUUUGGGAUAUCUUCAGGAAACUGGGGCUAAUACCGGAUAGGAUCUCCUGCUGCAUGGUGGGGGUUGGUAAGUUUCGGCGGUUGUGGAUGGACUCGCGGCUUAUCAGCUUGUUGGUGGGGUAGUGGCUUACCAAGGCUUUGACGGGUAGCCGGCCUGAGAGGGUGACCGGCCACAUUGGGACUGAGAUACGGCCCAGACUCCUACGGGAGGCAGCAGUGGGGAAUAUUGCACAAUGGGCGGAAGCCUGAUGCAGCAACGCCGCGUGCGGGAUGACGGCCUUCGGGUUGUAAACCGCUUUCGCCUGUGACGAAGCGUGAGUGACGGUAAUGGGUAAAGAAGCACCGGCUAACUACGUG
rnacentral:rRNA from 1 species